rnacentral:rRNA from 1 species
GAUGAACGCUGGCGGCGUGCCUAAUACAUGCAAGUCGAACGCUGGAAUAUGUGCUUGCACAUAUGAAAGAGUGGCGAACGGGUGAGUAAUACAUAAGCAAUCUGCCCAUUAGACUGGGAUAACUAUUGGAAACGAUAGCUAAUACCGGAUAGGUAAGUUUGAGGCAUCUCGAACUUAUUAAAGUUUAGAUACACUAAUGGAUGAGCUUAUGGCGUAUUAGCUAGUUGGUAAGGUAAUGGCUUACCAAGGCAGUGAUACGUAGCCGGCCUGAGAGGGCGAACGGCCACAUUGGGACUGAGACACGGCCCAAACUUCUACGGAAGGCAGCAGUAGGGAA